CCUACGGGAGGCAGCAGUGGGGGAUAUUGCACAAUGGGGGAAACCCUGAUGCAGCGACGCCGCGUGUGGGAAGACGGUCCUCUGGAUUGUAAACCACUGUCCCCAGGGACGAAGAUGACGGUACCUGACUAAGAAGCCCCGGCUAACUACGUGCCAGCAGCCGCGGUAAUACGUAGGGGGCAAGCGUUAUCCGGAUUUACUGGGUGUAAAGGGAGCGUAGGCGGUGCAGCAAGUCAGAAGUGAAAGCCCGGGGCUCAACUCCGGGACUGCUUUUGAAACUGUUGAACUAGAUUGCAGGAGAGGUAAGUGGAAUUCCUAGUGUAGCGGUGAAAUGCGUAGAUAUUAGGAGGAACACCAGUGGCGAAGGCGGCUUACUGGACUGUAAAUGACGCUGAGGCUCGAAAGCGUGGGGAGCAAACAGGAUUAGAUACCCUUGUAGUC
rnacentral:rRNA from 1 species